rnacentral:rRNA from 1 species
UACGGAGGGUGCAAGCGUUGUUCGGAAUUACUGGGCGUAAAGCGCGUGUAGGCGGCCGAUUAAGUCUGGUGUGAAAGCCCGGGGCUCACCCCCGGAAGUGCGCUGGAAACUGGUCGGCUAGAGUAUGGGAGAGGAAAGUGGAAUUCCCGGUGUAGCGGUGAAAUGCGUAGAUAUCGGGAGGAACAUCGAUGGCGAAGGCAAUCACCUGGGCCUGAACUGACACUGAGACACGAAAGCGUGGGUAGCAAACAGG